rnacentral:rRNA from 1 species
UCCGGAGGGUGCGAGCGUUGUCCGGAAUCACUGGGCGUAAAGGGCGCGUAGGUGGCCGAGCAAGGUCGCGGUGAAAGCCCGGGGCUCAACCCCGGGUCGGCCGUGGCAACUACUGGGCUGGAGCACUGUAGGGGCGGGUGGAAUUCCGGGUGUAGCGGUGGAAUGCGUAGAGAUCCGGAAGAACACCGGUGGCGAAGGCGGCCCGCUGGGCAGUUGCUGACACUGAGGCGCGACAGCGUGGGGAGCAAACAGG